rnacentral:tRNA from 1 species
GGGGUUGUGGCUCAGCGGUAGAGUGCUCACCUAGUAUAUGUGAGGUGCUGGAUUCAAUCCUCAGCACCACA